GCCGGGCGUGGUGGUUCACGCCUGUAAUCCCAGCACUUUGGGAGGCCGAGGUAGGAAGAUCACCUGAGGUCAGGAGUUCAAGACCAGCCUGAUCAACAUGGUGAAACUCCGUCUCUACUAAAAAUGCAGAAAUUAUCCAGGCGUGGUGGCUCACAUUUGUAUCCCAGCUACUUGGGAGGUUGAAACAGGAGAAUUGCUGGAACCCAGGAGGUGGAGGUUGCAGUGAGCCGAGACCACGUCACUGCACUCCAGCCUGGGCAACAGAGUGAGACUCUGACUCAAAAAAAAAAAAAAAGUCACGGCUGUUGGCAACCGUAUUUCAUUUGUUGGUCACAUCACCAGCACUGUGAUACGUAGUUGUCCUGUGGCAAACAGUGCCCUCCAAACACCUGUUCACCGAGAACUCCAGAACGUGAACUUGUUUGGAAACAGGUUCUUUGCAGGCGCAGUGAGUUAAAGUGAAGUCAUUCUGGAUUAGGGCCAGCCCUAAAUCCUAUGGCUGAUGUCAUAGGAUUAUGACAUCAUACACUGUGCCCAUACGCUGUGGACUCAGGGCACACUGCCUGUGAGUAGAGACAGACCAGCACAGAGCAAGAGCCCCAUGCCCAGAGGCAGCAGACUGGAGGGAUGCCGCCACCAGCCAGGGUGCACCCAGGGCCGCCAGCAGCCACUGUGUGGGAGAAGGGCGUGGGAGGAGCCCACUCUGCCCACACCUCACUGUCAGACCCUGGCAUUGGAGACAGAGAGCGAGCAGGUGCCUGUUGUCCCAAGCCAUGCAGUGUGCAGCACCCUGUUUUGGCAGCCACGGGAGACCCAUGUCACCAUCCAGCUCAUGUCUCCACCUCCGAGUUCACCUUCUUCCUUCCGAUGCGAGGAUGGCAUUCUGCAGACGCGGAAGACGUACUCGCUCGGAAGCCAAAACCACCAAGCGGGAUUCCUUCGGAGAGGGCUAGCUGCCGUACAGAUAACUGCUUUGUUAGACUUUAGGUUUCUUCCCACCCAACCUUCAUUUCCCUGUGAUCAGACGAAUGGUCAUAGGCAGCAUUACCCACACAGCCAUUCAAAAUCAAUCGGCUUCACGACCUAUUGUGAAAGGAUGGUGAUUGCCGUGCCAGCACGUGACAUGGACUCGGAUGCCUGCACGCACAGGUGCACCUUCCAGAAGGUGAGGUCAGCCCGAGUGCCCACCCCCAUCUGAGUGCACAGCUGCACAAUGACCAGUUGCUGGAAUGAUCUCAACAGAGCCCAAUGCCACCGACUUUGAUGUGCACUAUUGUCAGAUAUCCGGAAAAAUCAGAGUGCAUUAAAUUUCCGCAAAAAUUCUGUGUGUCUGUCUCUAUGUAAAUGAGCUAGGGCUUUGCUCAGCCUCCUCCCUGCAUCUGGCAAGAGGAGAAGCAAUUUUUAAUGCUUGUACUUCAGGGCAGCCAGCACCCAACACACCACAGCCCUUCCCAGCCAGUGGGAC
rnacentral:lncRNA from 1 species